rnacentral:lncRNA from 1 species
CCAUGAUGGCUCUAGUUGCAGCACCACUACUGCUCACACCUGCCCUGGAACAACAGUCCUGCUACCCAGGAUUCCUUGCAACUGUAGAGAAUUGUAGGCUGCAGCUGGGUGAUUUCACAACUUGCUUGCCCACGCCUGAUGGGGGACACAGAGGAGACCGUUGUGACCAUCAACCAAACUUUCCAGAGCACAACAUGCACUUAUUGGAGCCCCCUGAAACCCUCAACAACUGCACCCUGACAAUGUGGCCUAUUAAUAGACCCCAAUUCCUGCAGUGAGUAUGAUAGAGAUUCUUCUUUAUCCACCAUGUUUGAACCUUCUGUCCAUUGCUCAUCACUCUCAAAUCAUUGGAGUUCUUGAACCAAUGUACUGUGUGUCUUCCUUAUUGACUAUUCGAUUUCAACCAUGUAGUAGACACCAGUAAAUAUUAGGUAAAUAUGAAUGAGUGAAUAAAUGCCAUGAGGAAUUAUCUGAUAACGUAUGUAGCUCUGGAUGAUCUGUUGAAAAUCUCCAGCAAGAAACACACCAAUCUGAGUUAUACACAGCAAAAAAUUAAAACAAAAUAGCAAGC